rnacentral:rRNA from 1 species
UUGCCCUAGUAACGGCGAGUGAAGCGGCAACAGCUCAAAUUUGAAAUCUGGCCUUCGGGUCCGAGUUGUAAUUUGUAGAGGAUGCUUUUGGCGAGGUGCCUUCCGAGUUCCCUGGAACGGGACGCCUUAGAGGGUGAGAGCCCCGUACGGUUGGACACCGAGCCUCUGUAAAGCUCCUUCGACGAGUCGAGUAGUUUGGGAAUGCUGCUCUAAAUGGGAGGUAAAUUUCUUCUAAAGCUAAAUACCGGCUAGAGACCGAUAGCGCACAAGUAGAGUGAUCGAAAGAUGAAAAGCACUUUGAAAAGAGGGUUAAAUAGCACGUGAAAUUGUUGAAAGGGAAGCGUUUACGGCCAGACCUUUUCCUAGCGGAUCAUCUGGUGUUCUCACCGGUGCACUUCGCUAGGUUUAGGCCAGCAUCGGCUUCCGUAGGGGGAUAAAAGCAGUGGGAAAGUAGCUCCCUCGGGAGUGUUAUAGCCCUAAGCAUAAUACCCUUACGGGGGCCGAGGACCGCGCAUUUGCAAGGAUGCUGGCGUAAUGGUCGUCAACGACCCGUCUUGAAACACGGACCAAGGAGUCGAACAUUUAUGCGAGUGUUUGGGUGUUAAACCCUCACGCGUAAUGAAAGUGAACGGAGGUGAGAGCCCUUUACGGGGUGCAUCAUCGACCGAUCCUGAUGUCUUCGGAUGGAUUUGAGUAGGAGCAUAACUGUUCGGACCCGAAAGAUGGUGAACUAUGCGUGGAUAGGGUGAAGCCAGAGGAAACUCUGGUGGAGGCUCGCAGCGGUUCUGACGUGCAAAUCGAUCGUCAAAU